UACGGGAGGCAGCAGGGGGAAUAUUGCACAAUGGGCGAAAGCCUGAUGCAGCUAUGCCGCGUGUAUGAAGAAGGCCUUAGGGUUGUAAAGUACUUUCAUCGGGGAGGAAAAAACAAAACUAAUAAUUUUAUUUCUUGACGUUACCCGAAAAAGAAGCACCGGCUAACUCCGUGCCAGCAGCCGCGGUAAUACGGAGGGUGCUAGCGUUAAUCAGAAUUACUGGGCGUAAAGAGCACGUAGGUGGUUUUUUUAAGUCAGAUGUGAAAUCCCUGGGCUUAACCUAGGAACUGCAUUUUGAAACUGAAAUACUAGAGUAUCGUAGAGGGAGGUAGAAUUCUAGGUGUAGCGGUGAAAUGCGUAGAUAUCUGGAGGAAUACCUGUGGCGAAAGCGGCCUCCUAAACGAAUACUGACACUGAGGGUGCGAAAGCGUGGGGAGCAAACGAGGGAUUAGAUACC
rnacentral:rRNA from 1 species